GGUUUUGUUGUUCGGGCCGCGGCCGUCUGAGUCAGGAGGCGCUCAGCGCGGCGUCUGCUGGUUGCUCUGGAGUCGGGUAGCGUGGUCGUCUGCCCGCCUACCUGCCGGUCUGCCCGCCUCAGGCCAUGGGGAGCACUGAGAGCAGCGAGGGUCGCAGGGUGUCCUUCGGAAUGGACGAGGAGGAGCGGGUCCGGGUGCUGCAGGGCAUCCGGCUGUCUGAGAACGUGGUCCAUCGCAUGAAGGAUUCCAGCCCACCUGCAGAAGGUCAGCAGCCAGCUCCUCAGCAAGAACCCAGACUUCCCAGGUCUGAGACCAAUGAUGGCCAGCAGCUCUUGGGAGUGAAGGAGGACCUCAAGAGGUUCAGACAGGAGCAGGCUACCGUCCAGGAUGAGCUGUUCCAGGUGGUGAAGCGGGAAAGAGAGGCAGCUGCCAAGCACUUGCCAUUGGCCCCGCCUGUGGUGGAGAGUGGUACUGAUCAGGAGGAGCAGCAGUCAGCCCGGCUGGCCAGGGAGCUGGGAAGCAAAGAGGCAGAACUCAGACGCUGUGAUACCUUCUUCCAGGAGCAGCUGGGGCACAUCGAGAGGAAGGAGCAGACAAGAGGCUGUGCAGAGGCAAAACAAGAAAAAGGGAAAUGCAGGACGCAGGCAAAGGAGCCAGAGCCCAGAAGAGCAAAAGCCGAGAUGUAUAAACUGUCCUCACAGCAAUUCCACGAGGCAGCUUCGAAAGCAGAGAACACAAUCAAGAUCUGUUUUGGUAGCUUUUUCUGUACACCAGAGGAGAAUGUAUGCUUUGGCAUCUUACUCCAUCAGGCCCCGCAGGGUGGAGCCCGUGUGCUCAGGGCUGCAGGCCCAGAUCCUUCGCUGCUACCGUGACCACGCACACGAGGUGCUGCUGUGCUCGGACCUGGUCAAGGCCUACCAGCGCUGCGUGUGUGCGAGUGCUGCCCACAAGGGCUGAGGAGCAGCUACCACAUCUGGUACCAGGGACCAGCUUGCAGCUGUGACCAAAAGACCAGCCACGGGACCACAGACACAGACUGCAGGCCAUGCCACCGUGCCCUGCCCUUCCUGAGGGCAUUGCAUAUCCUCUGAGCACGGCCACCAUGUAUUUAGGAAACAGCAUGUGCUGCUGUCUGAAAACAAAUAAAGCAGAUGCCUUUGUUUUCAGUCA